rnacentral:tRNA from 1 species
GUCCGGUCGCCAUGGAGAAGGCUUCGGACUUCGGAUCCGAAGAUUGCAGGUUCGUGUCCUGUCACGGUCG